rnacentral:tRNA from 1 species
CGGGGCGUAGCCCAGUUUGGUUAGCGCGCCUUCCUUGGGAGCAGGAGGUCGGAGGUUCAAAUCCUCUCGCCCCGACCA